UGUCAUUGUCGGCGUCAUGGCUGGGUGGUUCGAGUGGGGACGCGGGCGGGCCCAGUGUUGGCUUUCGAGCCGGGGCAGCGAAGGAUGAGAUGCCCCUGCGAAAGGGCAGUGUCCGAAAUGGUGGGAGAUGAGACCCGAAGAGCGAAGCUUGUGGAGGUGCUGUCGGAGGCCUCGCGCUGCACGUGGGAGCGUCCCCAGGAAGGCCUCAAGGACGUG